rnacentral:rRNA from 1 species
UACGGAGGGGGCUAGCGUUGUUCGGAAUUACUGGGCGUAAAGCGCACGUAGGCGGCUUUGUAAGUUAGAGGUGAAAGCCCGGGGCUCAACUCCGGAAUUGCCUUUAAGACUGCAUCGCUUGAAUUGUGGAGAGGUAAGUGGAAUUCCGAGUGUAGAGGUGAAAUUCGUAGAUAUUCGGAGGAACACCGGUGGCGAAGGCGGCCACCUGGUCCGGCACUGACGCUGUAGCGCGAAAGCGUGGGGAGCAAACAGG